AUGCCCUUGACCAGAAUCAAACCCGGGACCCUUGGGUCCGCAGGCCGAAGCUCUAUCCACUGAGCAAAACCGGUUCAGCAGCAAUUUCACUCUUGACGUAACAAUGUUAAGUUAGUCAAGAUUUAGAAUAUAGUCUUUCAUUCAUGUUAUCAUGAUAGCAAUGCAGUUCUUCAAAUCAUUUCUGCUCAUUCAAGAUCUUCAGCCUCUAAGCCACAGAGAGCACCCUCCCUGCUAUGGCCAUCGCUGUGUAGGCUGAGUCCCUACAAGGUCACUGUGCAGCUCCACUAUCUCUAAUUGUAUAUAAAAUUCUCCUCAUUUUUUUUGCCAUAUUCAAAACUGAUAUUUGUUUUUCCAGAUGGAAUGCUAAGUAAUAAAGUGUUCGAGUUUUCACCCAGCAGAGUGCGUGCAGUCUUGAGGAUACCUUGGGGGAAAGAGACCCCUAAAUGUCCUUACAUCUAGCAUGCCCUCCUCUCCCCGAUGCCACAACUCCCAGGAGGGCGCUGCCAGGUUAGCCUGGGGAGUGCAGGCAGCGUGUUCUUCCCGACAAGGCUGCUGCUGCUUUUAAAGGCCUGCAGUGCACUUGGCUUGAGUUGAGGGGAACUUGACCCCUUGGAGCAGCCUGCUGGGUCCUAAGGGAGUCACUUUGCUAUGACAACUGGGCACCCCUUCUCUUGUGUCUCAAAGAAGCCUUCUCUGGGAUGUUGAGCUGUGCCUCUGUUUAUACAGAAGUUAAGUUAAUAGUCAUAAUAACCCUUAUUCCGAGUUCAAAAGUGUACUCAGGAUCCUCAAAGGAUUUUAACUUUGCCUCUUAAAACCCAACUUAUCGGGAUAUGGGAAUGUUGCUGCAUUUGUCAGACUGAAGAGGAAACCAUGCCGCAGCAGGAAAGGUUCUAUAGUGGAAUAAUUGCAAUUCAAUGUGUUCUGAAACGAAAACACAUCAGCCUUGUCUCAGAGGACCUAAAGUUGAUUUGCCGUGUAAAAUAACUUCAAAGCAAAAAAUGUAUCUGUAUUUUUUCAUCAAAAAUAAAAAUUGUUUUAAGCAGAAAAAAAAUGUAAACUGUCUUUUUACUUGCUGUAUCAUCAAUUUACAACUAUAUACUUUAAUAGUAUAACAUCGUUAUAAUAAAACCUUUUGAUGA